rnacentral:misc_RNA from 1 species
AACAUCGCGCACCUGCGGGAACCUGCGGAAGGAUCAUUACAGAGGCGAUGCCCUUUAUGGGUAGACCUUCCACCCAGUGUGAAUAUUCUUUGUUGCUUUGGCGAGUCGUAAGGCGAAGCCUUUCCACUGGCUUUUUCCGGCUGGUGCGUACCCGUCAGACGAAAAACUCUGAAUAUUAGUGUUGUCUGAGUUCUAUUAAAGUAAUUAAAACUUUCAGCAACGGAUCUCAGAUCGGAAGAG